GACGAACGCUGGCGGCGCGCCUAACACAUGCAAGUCGAACGAGCGAGAGAGAGCUUGCUUUCUCGAGCGAGUGGCGAACGGGUGAGUAACGCGUGAGGAACCUGCCUCAAAGAGGGGGACAACAGUUGGAAACGACUGCUAAUACCGCAUAAGCCCACAGCUCGGCAUCGAGCAGAGGGAAAAGGAGUGAUCCGCUUUGAGAUGGCCUCGCGUCCGAUUAGCUGGUUGGUGAGGUAACGGCCCACCAAGGCGACGAUCGGUAGCCGGACUGAGAGGUUGAACGGCCACAUUGGGACUGAGACACGGCCCAGACUCCUACGGGAGGCAGCAGUGGGGAAUAUUGCACAAUGGGGGAAACCCUGAUGCAGCGACGCCGCGUGGAGGAAGAAGGUCUUCGGAUUGUAAACUCCUGUUGUUGAGGAAGAUAAUGACGGUACUCAACAAGGAAGUGACGGCUAACUACGUGCCAGCAGCCGCGGUAAAACGUAGGUCACAAGCGUUGUCCGGAAUUACUGGGUGUAAAGGGAGCGCAGGCGGGAAAGCAAGUUGGAAGUGAAAUCCAUGGGCUCAACCCAUGAACUGCUUUCAAAACUGUUUUUCUUGAGUAGUGCAGAGGUAGGCGGAAUUCCCGGUGUAGCGGUGGAAUGCGUAGAUAUCGGGAGGAACACCAGUGGCGAAGGCGGCCUACUGGGCACCAACAGACGCUGAGGCUCGAAAGUGUGGGUAGCAAACAGG
rnacentral:rRNA from 1 species